GACGAACCGUGCGAACGUUGUUCGGAAUCACUGGGCUUAAAGGGCGCGUAGGCGGGCGAGCGAGUCGAAGGUGAAAUCCCACGGCCCAACCGUGGAAGUGCCCCCGAUACUGCUCGUCUGGAGGGAGAUAGGGGCGUGCGGAACUUCCGGUGGAGCGGUGAAAUGCGUAGAUAUCAGGAGGAACACCGGUGGCGAAGGCGGGUCUCUGGGCCGUAACUGACGCUGAGGAGCGAAAGCAUGGGGAGCGAACAGG
rnacentral:rRNA from 1 species